UACGGAAUGUGCAAACGUUAUUCGGAAUCACUGGGCUUAAAGAGUUCGUAGGCGGCAUGUUAGGUGAGGUGUGAAAUCCCCCGGCUCAACCGAGGAAUUGCGCUUCAAACCGGCGUGCUUGAGGAAGAUAGAGGUGGGCGGAACUGAUGGUGGAGCGGUGAAAUGCGUUGAUAUCGGGAGGAACACCUAUGGCGAAGGCAGCUCGCUGGGACGUUACUGACGCUGAGACGCGAAAGCGUGGGGAGCAAACAGG
rnacentral:rRNA from 1 species